rnacentral:rRNA from 1 species
CUACGGGCGGCUGCAGUGAGGAAUAUUGCACAAUGGGGGGAACCCUGAUGCAGCAACGCCGCGUGGAGGAUGACGCAUUUCGGUGUGUAAACUCCUUUUAUAUGUCAAGAAAAUGACGGUAGCAUAUGAAUAAGCACCGGCUAACUCCGUGCCAGCAGCCGCAGUAAUACGGAGGGUGCAAGCGUUACUCGGAAUCACUGGGCGUAAAGGACGCGUAGGCGGGUUGGAAAGUCAGGUGUGAAAUCCCACAGCUUAACUGUAGAACUGCACUUGAAACUUCUAAUCUAGAGUAUGGGAGGGGGAGAUGGAAUUAGUGGUGUAGGGGUAAAAUCCGUAGAUAUCACUAGGAAUACCUAAAGCGAAGGCGAUCUCCUGGAACAUUACUGACGCUAAGGCGUGAAAGCGUGGGGAGCAAACAGGAUUAGAUACCCUAGUAGUC